GGGAUUAGAUACCCCACUAUGCUUAGCCUUAAACCUAGAUGUUAAAUUUACAAGCAACAUCCGCCAGGGUACUACAAGCGCUAGCUUAAAACCCAAAGGACUUGACGGUGUCUCAGACCCACCUAGAGGAGCCUGUUCUAGAACCGAUAAUCCCCGUUAAACCUCACCACCCCUUGUUUUCUCCGCCUAUAUACCGCCGUCGCAAGCUUACCCUGUGAAGGUCUAAUAGUAAGCAAAAUGGGUAAAUCCCAAAACGUCAGGUCGAGGUGUAGCUUACGAGGUGGGAAGAAAUGGGCUACAUUUUCUAUAUCAGAAUAAUACGAACAGCACCAUGAAAUUAGUGCUCGAAGGUGGAUUUAGUAGUAAAAAACAAAUAGAGAGUCUUUUUGAACCAGGCUCUGAGACGCGCACACACCGCCC
rnacentral:rRNA from 1 species